CACGGGGGGAGCAAGCGUUGUUCGGAAUCACUGGGCGGUAAAGGGCGUGUAGGCGGUUCGGUAAGUGGAAUGAUGAAAUGCUCCGGCCUCACCCGGAGUACUGCAUCCCAAACUGCCGAGCUUGAGUAUGGGAGAGGAUGAGGGAAUUCCUGGUGUAGCGGUGAAAUGCGUAGAUAUCAGGAGGAACACCGUGGCGAAGGCGCUCAUCUGGCCCCAAUACUGACGCUGGAGGCGCGAAAGCUAGGGGAGCAAACGGG
rnacentral:rRNA from 1 species